rnacentral:rRNA from 1 species
UACGGAGAGUGCUAGCGUUGUUCGGAAUUAUUGGGCGUAAAGGGCGUCUAGGUGGCCGCUCAAGUCAGAUGUGAAAUCCCUCGGCUCAACCGAGGACGUGCAUUUGAAACUGAGCGGCUCGAGUGUCGGAGGGGGCAGCGGAAUUCCCGGUGUAGAGGUGAAAUUCGUAGAUAUCGGGAGGAACACCAGCGGCGAAGGCGGCUGCCUGGCCGACUACUGACACUGAAGCGCGAAAGCGUGGGGAGCAAACAGG